AUGCUAAUUCCCUUCUCUCAGUAAUGGAGACCAGCUGAAAAUAAACUGCCUCCAGAUGCCCGGACUGCCCCAGCCCUCCCAAGCCUGCAGCUCCGGGGGCCUCAGAGAGCAGUUCACAAUGUUGGAGGGGGAUGAGGAAGCUGAGUCACCAAGACAUUGAACACAAAGUCACGGGUUCAAUCUGUGGCAGAGCCAGGAUUCAAACUCAGUUGUGGCUCUAGAAGCUAUGCUUGUCCCUACAACACUGCUGGCCUCUCCGGACACAGACCUCAGGCCCUGUGAUGUCUCCCUCAAUGCCCUAGUCCCAGUGGUCAAGGUCACGGUGCACUCAUUCAUUCAUUUAUGUAUCAAGCACCGGGCUGGUUCUGGGGUCUAAUGAUGAUGAAACAAAUACAGUCUGUUCUCUCAGA